UACGAAGGGGGCUAGCGUUUUUCGGAAUCAAUGGGCGUAAAGCGCACGUAGGCGGCGCGUUAAGUCAGGGGUGAAAUCCUGGAGCUCAACUCCAGAACUGCCUUUGAUACUGGCGUGCUCGAGUGUGGGAGAGUUUGGUGGAACUCCGAGUGUAGAGGUGAAAUUCGUAGAUAUUCGGAAGAACACCAGUGGCGAAGGCGGCCAACUGGCCCAUUACUGACGCUGAGGUGCGAAAGCGUGGGUAGCAAACAGG
rnacentral:rRNA from 1 species